rnacentral:snoRNA from 1 species
AGCCUCUUUCUAGAUGAGAAUGGCACUGUUGAUCACGGUGUCCGAAAAUUGUAAGUGUGGCUAAAUUGAAACAGGUUAUGCUUCCAUACAGUAUAUAUAUUGCAGUGGUGACAAUGAGACCUGAAACAUUU